GAUGAACGCUGGCGGUGUGCCUAAUACAUGCAAGUCGAGCGAACAGACGAGGAGCUUACUCCUCUGACGUUAGCGGCGGACGGGUGAGUAACACGUGGAUAACCUACCUAUAAGACUGGGAUAACUUCGGGAAACCGGAGCUAAUACCGGAUAACAUGUUGAACCGCAUGGUUCAACAGUGGAAGACGGUCUUGCUGUCACUUAUAGAUGGAUCCGCGUCGCAUUAGCUAGUUGGUAAGGUAACGGCUUACCAAGGCAACGAUGCGUAGCCGACCUGAGAGGGUGAUCGGCCACACUGGAACUGAGACACGGUCCAGACUCCUACGGGAGGCAGCAGUAGGGAAUCUUCCGCAAUGGGCGAAAGCCUGACGGAGCAACGCCGCGUGAGUGAAGAAGGUCUUCGGAUCGUAAAACUCUGUUAUUAGGGAAGAACAAAUGUGUAAGUAACUAUGCACGUCUUGACGGUACCUAAUCAGAAAGCCACGGCUAACUACGUG
rnacentral:rRNA from 1 species